rnacentral:rRNA from 1 species
GGGAAUCUACCGUGCCCUGCGGAAUAGCUCCGGGAAACUGGAAUUAAUACCGCAUACGCCCUACGGGGGAAAGAUUUAUCGGGGUAUGAUGAGCCCGCGUUGGAUUAGCUAGUUGGUGGGGUAAAGGCCUACCAAGGCGACGAUCCAUAGCUGGUCUGAGAGGAUGAUCAGCCACAUUGGGACUGAGACACGGCCCAAACUCCUACGGGAGGCAGCAGUGGGGAAUAUUGGACAAUGGGCGCAAGCCUGAUCCAGCCAUGCCGCGUGAGUGAUGAAGGCCUUAGGGUUGUAAAGCUCUUUCACCGGAGAAGAUAAUGACGGUAUCCGGAGAAGAAGCCCCGGCUAACUUCGUGCCAGCAGCCGCGGUAAUACGAAGGGGGCUAGCGUUGUUCGGAAUUACUGGGCGUAAAGCGCACGUAGGCGGAUAUUUAAGUCAGGGGUGAAAUCCCAGAGCUCAACUCUGGAACUGCCUUUGAUACUGGGUAUCUUGAGUAUGGAAGAGGUAAGUGGAAUUGCGAGC